AGCUGGAAAGAGCAGCUUGGUUUUAACUCAGCCGCAGUGUGUGUCACCGAGAGUUUUUGGGGUCACUGACAGAUCAGUUUCAUAGACCAAACAGAUAAAUAGGCACAAAUUAUUCUUUAUUACUAUUGUUUAUAAUUUGUUCAUGCCGUAAGUGUGCUGAGUGCGCUACAGAGGAUACUGGCCCUUCCCCAGGGAACAUGUGUCUAAGUUAGACAUAUGUUUUGUAUAUUUUCUAUGUGUAUUCAAGCACCUCCAGUGCUGGAUAUGCACUUUUAAAAACAAAUUUAAAGUAAUAACAAUAACAUGCUGAGUAAUAACAAUAACAUGCUGAGCGAUAACAACAGGCAUGGGGGUGAGAGGAGGACGAGGGUUACAAAAAUAAAGAUCAUGUGAAUUGUUUUCUUUAUGUCACACACAAGGCUUGGGAUUUCUCUGUUUUUCUUUGAAUGCUUUUGUCAUUCCAUUCUCUUUGGCAGGAAGAGAUGACAGACUUCAGAGACUGAGGAAUUGCUGCUGGAGUACUGGAGCAAUGAGGCAGAAGGAAGGGGCUGGCCCCUGCUUGUACCUGCAGCCCCAGGGCUGCUGUCCAUAAUGAUGAUGGGAGUUUGUGAAGUCAAGAGCAAAAACGGAGUGAAAUUCCCAGGACUCAGCACUUGGUGAAUGAGGUCUGUGGUUAGUUUAGUGCUCAUUCUCGUGUUAUCUGUGUUUACCUGGUUCCGCAUAUACCCAGGGCCUUUCACUUGAACUAGUCAGUGAACUCGUCAGUGCCUGGAGCAGUUACUGUCUGUGGUGGGUGUACA
rnacentral:lncRNA from 1 species